rnacentral:piRNA from 1 species
UCCUAUCACAGGACCCUGAAGAUGAACUU